CCACGGCUCUCUUGACCAUGGCCUCAGUCAGGUGGGCUCACCAGGGCCUAAAUUCACUCCCCGUCCCCCUCACUCUCCCCAGCAGGUGCAGGGCUGGUUGGUGAAGAGGCUCACCCUCUCCUCCGUCCUCAGCCCCAACGCUCCCCAAACCUGUGCAUUAGAGCUGUGCUGGAGUUCUUCACGUCUCUACCAGGCCAGGUGGUCACUGCUAAACUCGCCUUGGAGAGAGGAAGCCUGGAUUAUCUGUCAGGUCCAGGGGGACGAUGCUCCAUUGGGCCCCCAGCUUCAUGGGGCUGCUACCUUGGUCUGGAGAAAGUAUCCAUCGGAUGUGGCCCAUGACACCCAACCUUUGGC
rnacentral:lncRNA from 1 species